rnacentral:rRNA from 1 species
CACGUAGGGGGCAAGCGUUGUUCGGAAUUACUGGGCGUAAAGGGCUCGUAGGCGGCCAACUAAGUCAUACGUGAAAUCCCUCGGCUUAACCGGGGAACUGCGUCUGAUACUGGAUGGCUUGAGUUCGGGAGAGGGAUGCGGAAUUCCAGGUGUAGCGGUGAAAUGCGUAGAUAUCGAGAGGAACACCUGCGGCGAAGGCGGGUUGCUGGGCCGACACUGACGCUGAUGCGCGAAAGCCAGGGGAGCAAACGGG